CUAAAGUCCUAUUGCAUGCUUUAAGAUGCCUUGCGUUUGGUGAAUUGAAGCCUGAUAUGUCAACAUACUCUCUGUAAACACAGCAGCACAGAGGGCAAAGAAACACUUAUCCAGCACCACAGCUAGGACAAAAGGAAUUAUUUUGACAGUAAAUGGACUUGCAGCUUAAGGUUGGUAUGUACCCAAUUGUGACUAAACCAAAAGAAACAAAUCUGGAAACUGAAGUAUCAAUACGUGAAAAGCGUUCUUUUGGUAUUGGGAGUGCCAGUUGUCUUUGUUUCAUGAACUACUUCUCCGUAAUAGCAUGCAGCCAUCUUCAAGAGGUAAAACAGCAUCCCCAGGAUAAACAGAUUAUAAGUCACAGUCUGUAAGAAAAGAAAAAGUAAAACAAGAUAGACUCCUGAGAACACUAAUUCCAGCAAAGAAGAAGAAGAUCUUCCUAAAAAACAAGGAUUACUCAAAGUUAUUGAGAAGAAAUACAGGUUCUGGUGGACAAUUUCCAGUCUGGAGUCUGCAUUUGGAGAGAUUCUACAGCACAUGCAUGAAUGAGGAGGAGGUGGUGUCCCAAGGGCAUUUAUAUCUUUGCUCUGUAUUUGGAGGAGAAUGGAGAGUUCCAAAUGAUCAGAGCUUGCACAUUACUAGAUCCCCUUUCUAGGGAAAAUGCUGCGAUCAAUUGAAGUUGUCAUCCUCAUGAAGCUCAUACUGUUUUGCCUGAAAAAUAAAUGUAAAUGCACAUUCUUGGUCUUAAAAUACAUAGAAACAAUACUUUUUUCCCUGCUACUAGCUUUGUAAGAUAAAUAGGGUUCAUGUUUAACAUAUAUACUCAAUACUUGGGCAAUUUGUCUUCAUCUAAUGAAUUAUUAUUUACCAUUUUUAAAUUAUCUGCUCAGAUUACAAGAUUCUUUUUAACAAUAACCAAAUUUUAAUUAGUAAAACUUUUGGUCACUUUAUAUUUUCUGAUGUGCAUAUUACAAUAAAAU
rnacentral:lncRNA from 1 species